rnacentral:tRNA from 1 species
UCCCUGAUGGCUUAGACAGUAAAGUGUUUGCCUAUGACGUGAAAGACCCAGGUUUGAUCCCUGGAUUGGGAA